rnacentral:lncRNA from 1 species
CUUUUUAGGGCUGCACCUGUGGCAUAUGGAGGUUCCCAGGCUAGGGGUCGAACUGGAGCUGUUGCUGCUGGCCUACACCACAGCCAUAGCAAUGUGGGAUCUGAGCCACGUCCAUGACCUAUACAACAGCUCAUGGCAACACUGGAUCCUUAACCCACCAAGCGAGGCCAGGGAUCAAACCCGCAACCUCAUUGCUCCUAGUCAGAUUUUUUGAUUUAAAGUCAUGGCAGGUUCCAGCGACCUACAUCAGUUCCCAGGAUUCAUUUAAGGAGUGAACCCAAGAAACUCCAGGAAGACAGAAGUCCUACAAAGUGGAGGGUUUCGAAUUUAUUGUCUUAGAUUUUAAAGUCCAAAACACUUAUAGUGGAUUUCUGAAUUACUGCCAAGGAUGUUCUACCUGAUGAGUUUCUCGAUGCUGUUUGUAUUCUAAAGAAGCAAUUCAGUAAUUUCUCUGUAAUCAAAAGUUGUCAAUUUAACUCACAAAGGAAGUUAGGCUUUUUUUAAAUAAAGGAUGCCAUUCCAGGGACUUAAAAGACUUGCAGAGCUGGACAUAAAAACAGAGGCAGGUUAUGGAUUUAAUAUAUAAGUGACAUUUAUUAACUUCAACAUAACGACCACCUAAUGAAAAGUGAGCUUGCCAGUACUUCCAUUUGGGAGGAUGAUUUUAACAUCUUUACUGCUUUUCUCUUUCCUUUUCUCAUGCCACAGAUCACCUCUCAGCACCAAAACAGAACAGCAUGCAUCACGGCAGGCUCUCUUCAUGCUCAUCCUGAACACUGAAUUCCCAGCAGAAAUGCACCCAAGAAGACACACGUGGAUGAAGGCAGGGGAAGGCUGUUGGUUGAAACUCAGACAAAACAAUUUGGCCCCUACCAGGCACCCAUGAAGAGGCCGUUUCAACAGCCCUAAUCUAUAUCUGGUUCCUAAGGUGCCCUUCCAUCUAAUCAACAUUUCUGAAAUAUUAAUGUCCGACCAUUACAGGGAGAUCUUGUGCACGUGCACUGCCAGAUUCUGAUUCGGUAGGUCUGGGGUAGGGCCUAAGAGUCUGCAUUUCUAAGUUCCCAGGUGAUGCUAAUACUGCGGGUCCAUGGAUCACACCUUUAAGUACAAGGAACUAGAUAUUUUUGAUGGGUAAGAAAAGAGAGUGAUGGUGAAAGAUUAUGUCUCCUGUCUCACAUCUACUAAGGUGUCAGUGGUAGUGGUUAAUUGAGAAAGCCCAUGGAGUCCUCAAUUUCUUUGAGAAAUAUUAUCAGGCUCCCAUCCACACUGUAUCAAUGGUACCCAUACUUAGGCUGGGACCUUACCCCUGGCCAGAGCUGACUGGAUCAAGGAUGGUCAUGUGCUCAGUGCUGAGCCAAUCAGCUUUCUGCCUCUCUUGCAAUUCUGGGAUCAGAGUUCAGAGAUGCCAGUCAAGAGCUUCAUGAACAUCUGGAACUGUCUUUGUACCUCAGGUGGAAAGAGAAAUGGGGACAGAGAAAAAUAGCACUGGAG